rnacentral:rRNA from 1 species
ACUUAUAUACAGGUGCUGCACGGCUGUCGUCAGCUCGUGUCGUGAGAUGUUGGGUUAAGUCCCGCAACGAGCGCAACCCUCGUGUUUAGUUGAUAACAGUUCGGCUGAUAACUCUAAACAGACUGCCUGGGUAACCAGGAGGAAGGUGAGGACGACGUCAAGUCAUCAUGGCCCUUAUGUCCAGGGCUACACACGUGCUACAAUGGGGUAUACAAAGAGCAGCGAUACGGUGACGUGGAGCAAAUCUCAAAAAUAUCUCCCAGUUCGGAUAGUAGUCUGCAACUCGACUACUUGAAGUUGGAAUCGCUAGUAAUCGUAGAUCAGCAAUGCUACGGUGAAUACGUUCCCGGGUCUUGUACUCACCGCCCGUCACACCAUGGGAGUUGAACUCAUUCGAAGCGGGGAUGCUAAAGUAGCUACCCUCCACAGUGGAUUUAGCGACUGGGGUGAAGUCGUAACAAGGUAACCUUAAUUAAAAA